rnacentral:lncRNA from 1 species
AUAGCAAGAGGCAAGAAAGGAACAGUCUGAGGUUUGAGUCUGACCCAGGACCUCUUUGUGGUCAAAAAGUGAGGGGGGAGGAAACAGGAUGAAAGGCUUGAGAGUGGCAAAAGCUUUUCAGCCCAGCCAAGGGUGCUCCAGGCAAGCGCUGGGGCACCUCUCUGGGAGAGGACCUUCACCAAGGUCAGAGAUGAACAGCAGUGUUGGGGACCUGGGUGUUGGCGCCUGCAGCCUCUGGGAUGACCCUGCUCGCUUCAUCGUGGUGCCCGCGGCCUAUGCCUUGGCACUGGGCCUGGGGCUGCCAGCCAACGUGGCGGCCCUGGCAAUGUUCAUCCGCAGCGGCGGGCGCCUGGGCCAGGCCCUGCUUCUCUACCUGUUCAACCUGGCUCUGGUUGAUGAGUUCUUCACGCUCACGCUGCAGCUGUGGCUCACCUACUACCUGGGCCUGGCCCGGAGGCCGCCUGCCACGCGGCCGGGGCCACCUACUACGUGUCCACCUAUGCGGCGGUGGUCUUCGCCGCGCUCAUCAGCGUGUGCCGCUGCGGCUUCGUACGCGGCUCCGGGCCCAGGGCGGCUGCCCGCCUGGCCCGGUGCCUACGGCGCCCCGCGCGCGCUGCCUGCGCCUUCGCCUGGCUGGGGGCCUGGCCCCUCCCUGCCUGGAGCACCGCUGGGCAAGCUCGGGGCUGGCCUCCGCCACGGUGGCCUUCGCGGCCGCCUUCCUGCUGGUGCUCGCGGCCAACGUGAGCCUGGCGCGGGCGCUCAAGGCGCCCUCUGGCCUGGGCCCGGGCCCGGGCCCGGGCCCUGCAACCGCCGGCGCGCACCGGCGCGCGGCCAAGACCAUGGUCCUGGGGUUCCUGCUGGUCUUCGCCCUCAGUCUGGCGCCCUACCACCUGCUGCUGGCGCCCUAGGUGGCUGGGGGGGAAGACAACGGAGACCGGUGUCGCGCCGCCUCCACGCUCGACAUCCUGCACACCCUCAGCCUGGCGCUGCUGAGCCUCAACAGCUGCCUGGACCCACUCAUCUGCUGCUUCUUCGUGCGCCGCUUCCACCAGGACUGCUGCUGGGCACUGAGCUGCCGCCUGGUGAAGGGGGCGCCCAGGGCGCAUGGGGCCUCCUUGGCCUCCUCUUGGAGAGUCUCCUGGCCUCCCCUCCUGUGUCACCCCCCUGUCACCCUCCCAGUGGCAUCCAGGGUGGAGAAAGCUCUUUGGAAAGACCUAGAUUCUAAUCCUGACGCAACCACAUACUACCUCUGUAGCUGUGAACCUCCGGGCUCAUCUGUACCAAGGACAUAGAACAUUCUUUGUAACCCGAAUGUUCCCUGGAUGUUGCCAGCUUUUGGAUACAAAUAAUAUACCACUGUGUUUUUUUUAAACCUCUUGGGAUAAAACCCAAAGUCCUUAUCAUGGCCUACAAGGCCCUGUCUGAUUUGGCUCCCCUUUCUCUCCAGACCUUAACCCACCACCCCUGCGUCUCCCUGCAGGCAGUCACCUUCUUAGGCCCGGGAAAAUGCCGGUCUCCUACUCUUCACGGCCUUUGUACCUGACUUGGCCAGGAAUGAUCUCUGUUCCUCUCUUUCACUAAGUUAGUUCUUCUUCACCCUCACUUCCUCUAAAGUAACUCCUUAUAGGGAAGCCUUUCUUGGCUGGCAACACACACACACACACACAUACACACACGACUGAAUCAGAUCGGAUUGCUCUUUGAUAGCUCUUUUCAUAAUUGUAAUCAAGCAAUUAAUUGGGUAAUGCGUUGUUGUUGUUUUCUUUCUCUCUUGCCAGAAUGUAUUCAUGUUGACCCAUAAGACAUUAUCAUUUUUAUAAGUCCCCAAAAGUUGAAUAUUGGAAAUUUUAUUUCCACCCAAUUCAACUUAAUAAAUUCUGUGUUUACCUUGCUCA